CUGGAAUUAAAGAGAUAAUUUCAAUGUGUCAGCUAUUUGUACAACAGAAGAUCUUCAGCAAGCAUACACUAAAUGCACAGGCUCUAAUUAAGAACAGUUCUGAAGGGUAAAGGUCUACUGGAACAGGAAAUGAAUGCUGAGAAGACUUAAGUCAUUGAUUUGGUUAU
rnacentral:lncRNA from 11 species